rnacentral:piRNA from 1 species
UGCUAUGACACCCAGCAAACUGGAAG